rnacentral:rRNA from 1 species
UACGUAGGGGGCAAGCGUUGUCCGGAAUCAUUGGGCGUAAAGAGCGUGUAGGCGGCCCGAUAAGUCCGCUGUGAAAGUCCAGGGCUCAACCCUGGAAUGCCGGUGGAUACUGUCGGGCUCGAGUCCGGAAGAGGAGAGUGGAAUUCCUGGUGUAGCGGUGAAAUGCGCAGAUAUCAGGAGGAACACCAAUGGCGAAGGCAGCACUCUGGGACGUGACUGACGCUGAGACGCGAAAGCGUGGGGAGCAAACAGG